GGAUGGACGUAGGCUAGAAUCAUCCUGUCCCAGGAGAUUUGCUGUCCUCUUCUGACUUUCUAGAGCAUCAGGGAAGCACAUACAGUCCAGCAUCACUGAGGCAACACCUUCUGGGAAGUGUUCAUCAGUGUCAGCACCCAGAAGCUGUGGUCCAGCUGUGGCCAGGGUAGCCUGACGACCAGGACAGUGACGGCGGAAGACAAAGGGACACGGGAAAGGUGGUCAGGAGAUGAGAGGAGUAGAAGAGGAAGAACCCAUUAGCCAAAGGUACGAUUCUAAGAGUGAGCUGAAGGUUAAAACUUGGGUGUUAUGAUAGAGUAACCAAGGAGAGAGGGGCAAGAGGGAAUUAGGGUAGGCCGUGGAGAUAAGCCAACCAAAGCCUCAUGCAACUGCCAAUCUGAUAGUCCUCACAUAUCACACAGAGCUUCCCAAAGCCUUUGUUUCCUAGAAAUAUACAACCAAGGAAGAAAAAAAACUAAUAAAAAUAAAGA